GCGCACGGUGAAUGCCUUGGCACUAAGAGCCGAUGAAGGACG
rnacentral:rRNA from 1 species